CUUAAACAUCAUAAAAAAUUUAAUGAAUUUUAAAAGAAUAAGAAGCAAUCGAUAUGAUAUCUUAUGUCUACUAUAUUUUUUUUAGCGGCGGUAAAGUUGUUCUAAUGACAUAGCGUUUAAACAUCGAUUCGAUAUUAUCAUUAUCUCUGUUAUGUCAAUUGCAUACCUCGUUCAAAGUAUAUGGCUCUUCGUGGAGGUCGGUUGUUACAACAGAGACCAUUUCAUCUUCACUCAUACCAAGACUUUCCUGGACAUCGAUUAAUCUUUGUACACGUUCCCAAGGUUUGUUCCGUUUCUUUGCUAUCAUCUAUAAACAAACUCAGAUCUCUUAAAAUUUUUUAAGUAGAAAUAUCAGAAACUUUUUCACAAACUGAGAGAGAGAGAGAGAG
rnacentral:misc_RNA from 1 species